rnacentral:rRNA from 1 species
CGAACGGAAAGGCCCUUCGGGGUACUCGAGUGGCGAACGGGUGAGUAACACGUGGGUGAUCUGCCCUGCACUUUGGGAUAAGCCUGGGAAACUGGGUCUAAUACCGAAUAUGACCGCGCACUUCCUGGUGUGUGGUGGAAAGCUUUUGCGGUGUGGGAUGGGCCCGCGGCCUAUCAGCUUGUUGGUGGGGUAAUGGCCUACCAAGGCGACGACGGGUAGCCGGCCUGAGAGGGUGACCGGCCACACUGGGACUGAGAUACGGCCCAGACUCCUACGGGAGGCAGCAGUGGGGAAUAUUGCACAAUGGGCGCAAGCCUGAUGCAGCGACSCCGCNUNAGGGAUGACGGCCUUCNGGGUUGUAAACCUUCUUUCAAUAGGGACGAAGCGCAAGUGACGGUACCUAUAGAAGAAGGACCGGCCNAACUACGUGCCAGCAGCCGCGGUAAUACGUAGGGUCCGAGCGUUGUCCGGAAUUACUGGGCGUAAAGAGCUCGUAGGUGGUUUGUCGCGUUGUUCGUGAAAACUCACAGCUUAACUGUGGGCGUGCGGGCGAUACGGGCAGACUAGAGUACUGCAGGGGAGACUGGAAUUCCUGGUGUAGCGGUGGAAUGCGCAGAUAUCAGGAGGAACACCGGUGGCGAAGGCGGGUCUCUGGGCAGUAACUGACGCUGANGAGCGAAAGCGUGGGGAGCGAACAGGAUUAGAUACCCUGGUAGUCCACGCCGUAAACGGUGGGUACUAGGUGUGGGUUUCCUUCCUUGGGAUCCGUGCCGUAGCUAACGCAUUAAGUACCCCGCCUGGGGAGUACGGCCGCAAGGCUAAAACUCAAAGAAAUUGACGGGGGCCCSCACAAGCGGCGGAGCAUGUGGAUUAAUUCGAUGCAACGCGAAGAACCUUACCUGGGUUUGACAUGCACAGGACGCCGGCAGAGAUGUCGGUUCCCUUGUGGCCUGUGUGCAGGUGGUGCAUGGCUGUCGUCAGCUCGUGUCGUGAGAUGUUGGGUUAAGUCCCGCAACGAGCGCAACCCUUGUCUCAUGUUGCCAGCACGUAAUGGUGGGGACUCGUGAGAGACUGCCGGGGUCAACUCGGAGGAAGGUGGGGAUGACGUCAAGUCAUCAUGCCCCUUAUGUCCAGGGCUUCACACAUGCUACAAUGGCCGGUACAAAGGGCUGCGAUGCCGUGAGGUGGAGCGAAUCCUUUCAAAGCCGGUCUCAGUUCGGAUCGGGGUCUGCAACUCGACCCCGUGAAGUCGGAGUCGCUAGUAAUCGCAGAUCAGCA